UUUCCGUAGGUGAACCUGCGGAAGGAUCAUUAUUGAAUAAACCUGAUGUGGUUGUAGCUGGCCCUUUCGGGAGCAUGUGCACACCCGUCGUCUUUAUCUUUCCACCUGUGCACCUCUUGUAGACCUGGAUGUAACACUUUCCGAGGCAACUCGGUCGGGAGGAAUGCUGUCAGCUUUCCUUGAAUGUCCAGGCCUAUGUUUUCAUAUACCCCAAAGAAUGUAACAGAAUGUAUUAUUGGGCCUUGUGCCUAUAAACUAUAUACAACUUUCAGCAACGGAUCUCUUGGCUCUC
rnacentral:misc_RNA from 1 species